GCAGUUGUGGCCGAGUAGUUAAGGCGAUGGACUAGAAAUCCAUUGGGGUGUCCCAGCACAGGUACAAAUCCUGUCGACUGCG
rfam:Ixodes scapularis strain Wikel colony gcontig_1108379729680, whole genome shotgun sequence.